AUCCAGCUGACGAGUCCGAAAUAGGAUGAAAACAAACGUCCUUGAU
rfam:Schistosoma margrebowiei strain Zambia genome assembly, scaffold: SMRZ_scaffold0000011